CACUUUAUCAUGCUUGCUCUCCAAUCCCGGCUAACUGGCUCCUGGCCACAAUCCCAGGUGAGCUGUGGUCAGACGCAUUUGUGCUGGAAGGCUUCGCAGCUUGGCUGGAUGGGGGAUGUCUGGUUUUGGCCCAAUUUCUGCCAGAUGAUAGAUGAUCUCACUGCUUCACUUCAAUCGUCUCUAAAAUGGAUCUGGACGUCUUUUAACCUUAUGUCUUCCAUCUGCAAACACAGUUCUGACAAAUGCCAUGACAAAUGAGAAAAGAGUGUUGCAUUUAAACAAAAAGUUUAGCAAGAGGAGAGGCCGUGACACUGGAGAUGGAGGAGGCACUCCAGUUCAGUUGUGAGCAGUCCUGUCCGGAUUCCUUCCUGUCCGGAUUCCUUCCUGUCCAGAUUCCUUCCCUGGCAGAAAUCAAACUUGCCAUGAGCUGUGAGUAGUCCUGUUUGGAUUCCUUCCGUGGCAGAAAUCAAACUUGCCAUGCAUUUGUUCCUUCUAUCCUCUCUCUUUGAAUUUCAAAGAAGAACUGGAAAAACAGUAAUUAUUCAAGAUUUUAAACUGUAAUGCAGUGAAAUACUCCUUUCCUCAGGAUAGCAGGGUCUUUCCUGGAGGCAGGAAUGUGCGACAUCCUUUGGAAAAAGUUCUCUUAUUCACGGUGUUUCGCAAACCUGGCAAUGUGUUCAAGUCAGCCGGGGGCUUCAGGAGGGAGAAUUUCCCAAGAAGAAGGUCACUUCUGGACUCGCUUUCUGGGACAUCAACGGACUCACAGAGAAUCCGAAAAUCAGAGAAUCCGUGGCAGGGGAAGGCAGAGGUUGCCUGUUCCUUUACUUAGAAGGAGCUGAAGGCCUUUGUGAGGACAGGUCCAUCCAGGAAGCUCCUUUGGGGAAACCAAGCAGAAAGGAGGCCUCAGGAAAUUCCCUGAGACACAGACUGACCGUCGAAUGCACACACAGCCAAACGGAUGUGAGACCACACAGCUUAUCCUGCCGCCUGCCUUCUGCAGCUGUGUUUCUCAGCUUUCCUCCCACCCCAGGAUUCAGCCUGCCUGGCCCAGCGCUGCCCCUUCUGCUGUCCUGAAGGUCUUACCUCCUGCGGCUCCUUCUGUCCCAUCCUGGUGGCUGCCCACACCCAUCUUUCGAGUGCCCACCUGUGCAAAUCCCAGCACUGCCUCCCUCCUUCUGUAUGUACUGCUCAACCCUGCACCCCACCCUGCUCCCCACACCAUGGUGGGAAGAAGCCCCCUCUUUUCCUCCCUGUGUCCUGCACCUGGAGCAGAGCCCACGUGACGGAAACCCAGGAGCUUUCCUUGAGGGAAUAAAAGCGAAUAGGACUGGGCGCAGUGGCUCAUGCCUGUAAUCCCAGCACUUUGGGAGGCCGAGGCGGGCGGAUCAUCUGAGGUCAGGAGUUUGAGACCACCCUGGCCAACAUGAUGAGAUCCCGUCUGUACUAAAAAUACAAAAAUUAGCCAGGCGUGGUGGUGGGUGCCUGUAAUCUCAGCUAUUUGGGAGGCUGAGGCAGGAGAAUCGCUUGAGCCCGGGAGGUGGAGGUUGCAGUGAGCCGAGAUUGCGCCGUUCGCACUCUAGCCUGGGCAACAGAGCCAGAUUCCAUCUCAAAAAAAAAAAGGAACGGAAGGCUCAGGUCAGUGCUGUGCUAGGCUCUUCAAAUACUUGCUCUGGUAUUUAAAUUAAAACAAUGUAUCUAGUUGAGCUUCUUGUUUACAUUUUUUUUUAAAGACAGGAAGAUGCUUCCAUUUUCCCACAGUUAAUUGAUUCUAUCACCUACUAAAAGUAGGAAAGAGCUCUGGAUGGAAAAGCCCCUUCCAUCCCGACAGAUGCUGAACACCAAUCCACAGCUGCUUUCCAGCCCCAGGGAGAAAUCCCACGUGGGCCUCGUGUGGUGCGUGCACACAAAACACAAGACGCACACGCUCACCAGCAGGUCAUCCACGUGACGUUUACAUUUCAUGCUGUACCUGACGCUGCGUCCCUACAACAUAAAAUCACAGUGUGUUGCUUAUAGACCUGAACCCUCAAUAUAAUGUCACAUCCGACUGUACACAAUGUUUCUAUGAUGAAUACGUUUUCGGUGCAAUGAGAAAAUGAACAAUCAGCACAAGUGUGAGCUGUGUCUUAGAGUUACUUUAUUGGUAACAUACAAUGCUGUUUCUUUUUAUUGUUACAAUAAAAUGAACCCAUAAACUCUGUGCUAUAGUGCCCAGGA